CGCGCUCUGAUGGCUCCUUCCCGGGAUGUCUCCCGCCUGGAGCUGAGUUCAGGGAGGCGCAGGCCCUCGCCUCGGGCAGGGUCCCUGGUCGUGGAGUUGGACAAGUGGGCGCUUCCAGGAGGGGCUGAGGAGGCGCCAGGCCUCGGCGGGUCUUGGAAGGGUAGAACCACGGGAGGUGAAGAUCCCCGCUUGCAGCGCACGGAUGCCCACACCUCCAGCCGCUGGCCGGGAAGUAACAUCGAGAAACUAAAGCUCUGCAGGCUUCAUCUACCUUCUCCCUGAAUUUGGAGGAGCUCGCUUUCUCCAUUCAUUCUUUUAGCUCCCCCGUACCCAUUGCUGGCUUCCCGAGCAAAAGCAGGAGCCACCUUUUCCUCCUCCAGUGAUUUGCGUUACAUUAAGGAGCCACAAAGGUUAUGCAGGUUAUACCUGGUGAGCACCUAUGUGCCAGGAGAGUAUGCCAGGUGCUUUUACCCACAUGUCCUCAUUUACUUUUUUUAAAACAAAUCAUGUUUUUUUUAAAAUAAAGAUUUAUCUAUCUAUUUCCCCCCUUCCCUUCCUCCCACCCUGCUGUUUUUGCCAUCUGUGUUGUCUUCUCUUCUCAUUUUCUCUCCUCUAGGAUUCACCAGGAUUCAAUCCUGGGGACCUCUGAUGGGGAGAGAGGUUCCCUGUCAAUUGUGCCACCUCA
rnacentral:lncRNA from 1 species